rnacentral:rRNA from 1 species
UGAUGACGCACUUCGGUGUGUAAACUCCUUUUAUCUGUCAAGAAAAUGACGUUAGCAUAUGAAUAAGCACCGGCUAACUCCAUGCCAGCAGCCGCGGUAAUACGGAGGGUGCACGCGUUAUUCGGAAUCGCUGGGGGUAAAGGAAAUUUAUGCGGGUUUGUGGGUCAGGUGUGAAAUCCUACAUCUUAACUGUAAAUCUGCAGUUGAAACUACUGGUCUAAAGUAUGGGAGGGGGAGAUGGAAUGAUUGAUGUAAGGGUAAAUUCCUGUGUUAUGGUUAAAUGUGCAAAUAUAUGAAGGAACACCCUGGACCAAUGCGGAUUACUGGGUCAGAACUGACGCUGAGCCACCAAAACUUGAGGAGCUGAUAGGAUAAGAUAUCCUGGAUGACCACUCCCCAUACGAUGACUACUAACUGCUGGAAAAAUUCAAUGCUAUAAUUAACGCCAUCAGUACUCCGCCUGAGUAGUACGUACGCU